CGCUAAAGCAACCGGCGUCCUGCGUUACGUCACGGCUCGUGCUGCGUAGCGGGCCGAGCGGCUACAGGUAAACCGGAGCACAACAAACCGAAAAACCGGCAGUACGGCAUACCACGGAACGGUUACGAGAGGAGUCAACUGCCAUUCCACUGGAUUAAACUGAUACUAAACUGUGUCACUGACACUCACCGGCGGAUUAUUUUCACCACCGACCAGGCACAGGAGUACGGCUACUGUUAAUUUUUAGUUCUUUUCGAAAUUGUGUUUUUUCGGGUGAAAUGACAAUGUGAUAAAAUACCUUAGAAUCCAUAGUCACCGAGAGAGAGUGCUUGCUAUCGAUUUUCCGACGUCGCCCUGUUUAGCGGUGAAUAUUCAUGUCUAUGGAAGUCAUCGCUUAUUUUAGCUAACAGGAUGGUCCUCUGUGAAAAAUAGUGAGUGUAGCGUCAACAUCGAUUUCCACGGGUGUAAAAAGAAUGACGUCUGCCAUGGACCAUCAUAUAGAGGACCAGGAAGACAAGAUGCGGAUCCUUUUCGAGAAUGAUAAGGAAGAUCUGAGGGAAAAUGGUAUCAGCCUGGAGAAGGAGACUGAACUCCUCAUCAUUGAAGACCUACCCUCUCCCAUUGCCAUGGAGAUCACAGACUUCAACUGUAGGUCUGACGAGACAACCUCUCCUAAUCCAGAUAAGUCUGACAAAUCUCUGACAGACACCAGUCGAGGAACUUCGGAGGAUCUGACAAUUCCAUCCUCCCCUCUCACCGAGGACUGUGUUUCUCCGCUAAUGGAGGACAGUGUUUUUCCUCCUUUAGAGGAUUCCCUCCCCAUUACCUCCUCCCCACUGGACAAAGAGGAGUUAAAACCAGUCUCGGACCAAGUAGGUGAGGUGGACUCAACAUGUUCUAAUAAAGAAGGUGAGUGUUAUAAGCCUCAUUCUGAAGAGGACUCUGAAGGCUCAGAACUAAAUGGUGUGUCUAGUUCACAUUCAGAGUCUGAUAAAGUUGUUGAAGAGUCACUCAACUCAAAAGAGUCUUCUGAAAUAAUAAAAGGAGAGGAUGAUAAAUCUCGUGUCAUAAAAACAGAUAUUAAAGAAGAUUCCGACUCAUCAUGUGAAACUAAGUCAAUCACAGAGGAUGUUACGGCAGUCCUUCCACCAAUCACGGAGGAGGUAACAUCAAACAUUCCACCAGUCACAGAAGAAGUUACAUCGAACAUUCCAUCAGUCAUGGAGAACAAUACAUCAAAUUUACAACCAGCCACAGAGGAGGUUACAUCAAACCUUCCACGAAUCACAGAGGAGGUUACAGCUAACUUUCCACCAAUCACAGAGGAGGUUACAGCUAACUUUCCACCAAUCACAGAGGAGGUUACAGCUAACUUUCCACCAAUCACAGAGGAGGUUACAGCUAACUUUCCACCAAUCACAGAGGAGGUUACAGCUAACUUUCCACCAAUCACAGAGGAGGUUACAGCUAACUUUCCACCAAUCACAGAGGAGGUUACAGCUAACUUUCCACCAAUCACAGAGGAGGUUACAGCUAACUUUCCACCAAUCACAGAGGAGGUUACAGCUAACUUUCCACCAAUCACAGAGGAGGUUACAGCUAACUUUCCACCAAUCACAGAUGUUGGAUCAAACCUUCCACCAAUCACUGAGGAGGCUACAGCAAACAGUUCACCAACCACAGAGGAAGUUACAUCUAAACCGGUGAAUGAUAUUAGGAGUCCUGAAGGAAAUCUUCCAGAAGAAACAUCAGACGACGCUUUAUCAGAAACCAAGGACGAAGAAAGAGUCAAAACGAAUGUCAUUGUUACUGAAGACCCAGUGGAUAAAGAUCUUGUGGCUAUUUCCUCCUCUGUGCAGACCGACGAUUCAAAUGACAAGAAAGUUAUAAAGCGUCCCAGUAAACUCACUGUUGACUCUGUGCAUGUCGACUCUGACUCAAUCGGAAGUGCUGACCUUCCCCUGACUCCAGGGUCACAGGGGUCAUGUGACCCACCGCUGACUCCAAGCUCCAUUGCAACAGAUUUUAAUUCCCAUGAGGAGGUGCAGUCCUUACAGAGGGAGCUCGUACAGACACACACCCUCGUCAAACAACUACAGGCUGUCAUCCUCAAGGAGCGGGUCACACAUAGCCACAACGUCGCUGUCCUCAAAAUGAGGCUUCAACAGAAGGAGGAAGAGUGUCGCAAAAAUGCAGCUAGGUCCGACAAACAACUAGGGGAGGUAAUCGCUCAUCUUCUCCUCCUUGAGGGUCAGUUAAAGAAGGAACACACCCAGGUACGCUGUAAAAUGGCUGACAAUGAAAACAUUAUUAGGAAGCAGGAAGAGCAUAUUGAAUCUCUUACAGAAACCAACCAAACACUAUUGGACACGGUACGUGAAGCUUAUGGCAGGAAAGGAAAAAAUGGAGUAAUGUUACUUGACAAUUUGGGUGAUGAUAAAAAUGGGUCUAGUGAAAGUCUGGAAAGCCCCACUUCAAAGUCACCACCGUCUGUAAAAUCACCUCACAAGGGCAAAUGGGGGUCAAUGAAGGAUAAAAUGACCCGUAAACACCGAAGUAGUCUCGAUCUGAGCGACACAGAUUUUGAAGUAAAUCGCGGUCUGUUGGUCGGCCGACAGUAUGGAAGUCAGGAAAGCUUACUCAUGAUUGGUCGAAAAUCAAAGGAAAUGCGUGAAGGCCGGGACAAAAAGUGUCGUAGCAUAGCUGGUUAUCCAGACAGCUCCCUGGUUGGACUUAUGGAAGUGCCAGAUGAAAAUGAAAUUCGACUUGAUAGUUUCUCACAUUCCAAAGUUUUUGGUGAAAACAAAAACCAACGUGGAAAUGGACAGACUUCUAAUAUGUUACAGGUUUCGUUCAAUGGAAUUGAUCAGUCAUCUGCUGGCUUAUUGUCUGCAAUCUCAAUGCCAAUAUUGUCACAAACAGACAAAAAUUCUAACACAGCUCUUACGAAGGAGAGACCGAAGUCCAUUUCUAGCAUAGAACACAUAUCCUCUCGUGACAGUGGGGGCACCCCUGACUUGCCCCCACAAAUGGAGUCCUACCCCCCACCCCCAAAAUCGCCAGGUGCCACAUCUAACUCCAGCUUUUCUGAAUCAUCCAACCCAUUCAAAAACUUGAAAACCAUAUUAAAACGGAAAGGGAGUAAGAUCAAGGGAAAGAAGCGCUCUGUGACAAUGGCCGAUGCACCUAGUCAGGACUAUCAGGCCGCCGUGAAAAAACAUUUUGAGAAGUAUGACAUGUCGUGAUGAACAGUGCUGCUUCAUAUGUAAGCAAUUAUGUCAAGUGCUUUAAAUUGUGUGUUUAUUAAUCUGUAGGACAAGGAGAUACACCUGUCACUGGGGACAUGUGGAAACACGUUUAUAUAAACUCACAGUUCUGGUUAAUGAUAGUUGUGUGUGUGUUUGAAAGUUUUAUAGCUACAUGUGCCAUAUCCUGGUUAUUGUUUGAAGAAUUCUCCAAGUAGGAUCACUACUUCUAUCAUGUUACGUGUGACAUCAUACACUCCCUGACAUCAUAUAUACAACCAUUGAUGUCAGGAGGAAGUGGCACUACACACCUGAUCUACGUCACCACCACAGAUUGGCCUUUAAUAGGAAAUCUCAAAAAACAAUCACUUCAAUAUAAAUGAUCUCGGCAGCUCCUGAAUAACGUAGUAUAUUACUAAUACUGUAUACUGCAAUCACUUGGUGUUAUGUUUCAUAGAAUUUCACUGAUACAAACUUUUGGGAUUGUGUGAAGUUAUAACCUGUAUUUGCUGUUCUUAUAUUAGCCAUUAAACUGUAGAUGAAAAAAUACACAGCAAAAGCCUCAUUAAUUACAUUAUUACACUAUUAAUACAUCUAUGUACCAUAAGAUGUAUGUGUGACAUAUAAUGUAACUACGAUAAGCUGAGCUGGUGGGGUAUGGCAAUAUGUGAUAUACAAUUGUGGUAUAGAAAUAGAAUACAAAUAUAUACAGGUAUGGUAUAUACAGGUGUGGUAUACAAAUUUGUACAGGUAUGGUAUAUAGAUGUGUAGUAUACAAAUUUAUACAGGUAUGGUAUAAACAUGUAUGGUAUAUACAGGUGUGGUAUACAAAUUUGUACAGGUAUGGUAUAUAGAUGUGUAGUAUACAAAUUUAUACAGGUAUGGUAUAUAUACAGGUGUGGUAUAUAGAUGUGUAGUGUAAAAAUUUAUACAGGUAUGGUAUAUACAGGUAUGGUAUAUACAGGUGUGGUAUAUACAGGUGUGGUAUAUUAAUGUGUGGUACAGAAGUAUACAAAUGUAUACAGGUAUGAUAAACACAAGUGUAGUAUAUAUAUACGGUUGUGAUAUAUGGAUGUGUGGUACAGAAGUAUACAGGUGUGGUACAUACAGAUGUGGUAAAUACAGGUGUGGUAAAUACAGGUGUGGUAAAUACAGGUGUGGUAAACGUGUUUGGUAUAUUACAAGGUUAUUUAAUUGAUGCCUUUCUAGAGUGUAGUCAAAAAUAGUAGCCGGUAGUUGACAAUGUGUUCAUAUUAUAACACAGGGCUGAAGGUCAUCUGACGAUAUUAAAUAUGAGUUUUAUAACAUAAUAUUGAAAAAUAUCAAACACAUUUUAUUGAAUCGCAUACAAUUUAAUUGCCAUCAUGUAUGAAUACUGGACACUUUUCUGUGGCUUUUUAACAAAAAAUUCAAAUCUUUUGAAGAAGCGCAGAUGACACCUUCUGCUAUAUUGACGGCCAGACCGCAAGUAAAUGACAAUUGAACGGCUUUUUGGAAAAAAUUCAUGUGACAAUCACAUGACCAGUCAUACUAAAAAAAUAGCUGAAAAUAGUUGAUUUCAGAAUAUGUAGAACGAAAACAGAUUAUUUUGUUAUAAACAUUUAGUGUACUAGUAUACAAGUAUGGUAUACAGUUGUGAUUGAUAAGCACUGAUGUGUAGGUACAAACAGAUACUGUAUAUGUAAUAUGUCUAGAUCGACCAGCUAUAUAUACCUAUAUAUACUGUACAAUUUGUCUCCUCUACAUAUGAUUAAUGUGCAAAUGGAGUUGAUGCACAUGACACGUCUUUCAUGCUGCUUCAUGCAACUUAUAUUACAUUUGCAUAAAUUUUAUGUAAAUUUUUAAAACUGACACAAAUGUUUCUGACCUGAGAACUAUUAACUUUUCAAAAUGAAUAGUAAGUAGGUCUUACACUGCAUGGUAUAUAGAUUUAUACCUAGACUUGUUCCCAGUGGAUUUACACAUUGUAAUACAUGAUCUACCAGGCAUUAGUGUUUAUGAUUCAAAAGCUCUCUUAAUAAAUUAUUACUUCAUCUAAGUUUUCCAUUAUCAGUUUAUUCCCGUCAUUGUUUUUUGGGGGUUUUUUUCUUUUUUUUCUAAAAUCUAUCUGUUAAUAGAUUUUUUAUGAUUAUUGAAGAACAAUUCUGAGAAAAACAUAUCAUUAUAAAUCUCAGUGGGCACUGCUUGAUUAGCUAGUGUUCAGAAUCCUUUACAUACAUUUAAGCAAUGAUUUUUGUCCAUGGCUGAUCAAAACUUAGCUGGUCAACUUCAGAUCAAAUGUACAGUUGUUAAUUGUCUCCCUUUCCCAUAACCACACUUGCUAAGUUAUUGUUGCAUGAGACGAUUUGUGAGAAUAAAGAUUUGUGAUGUAUAACUAAGGUUUGUGAGAGUAAGAGAUUUGUGAUGUAUAAUUAAGGUUUGUGAGGGUAAGAGAUUUGUGAUGUAUAAAUAAGGUUUGUGAGAAUAGAGAUUUGUGAUGUAUAAUUAUGGUUUGUGAGAAUAGAGAUUUAUGAUGUAUAAUAAAGGUUAAAGAGUAACAGGGGUGUAAUGCACGUCCUCAUAAAAAGUCUGGUAGUUGUGUCUAAAACUCUUUACCUGGAAUUCUAUGUAACAUUUUGAAUAUAAAAACUGUAUUACAGUACAAAUUGAUUUACCUUUUUUUUCAUUUCUACAAGAUUAGAUUGCCGAUAAUUCCAUCUUGACCUGCAAAAUUGGAAUAUAAAUCUUUCUCAGAAGGUACUUUUCUUUGCAAAUAAUUUUCAAUUUUUGGAAAUUCAAACUGAUGUGCAACUAUAACACUACAGCCAUUUAUCACUAAUCAAUAUCCUUUUGUCUGGAUAACUUGUUAUUUCACACCAUUCUAGGGAACAGAUUUGUCUAAGUCAUGUUUGUUAAUCCAACAAUUCAUUAGUCCAGAAAGUGUAUACUUUAGUUGGAACAGAAAUGUCUGGAUUAACAAGGUACAUGUACCCUCGAGCUCAUAUAGGGUGGUUUAAGGUCACUGUAUAAGGUCACUCUGAUAUAAGUCUAUUUAUGGUAUGAGGGCUUAUUAUUUAUAUUCUCAAACCUCGCAUUGUAAAUGGAAAUCAAGCUACAAGCUGUAUUUAUGACAUAUGGUUUUGGCUAGUGAACUACAUGUAUAUGGUUUUGCCUAGUGAACUACAUGUAUAUGGUUUUCGCUGUCGGUGAACAACAUGGUUUUGCUGUGACAUUAUAUAAUUAUGACAUGUGUAUUUGUUAGGACUUGAUGUGAUCAAAUCAUCACUCCAUAGAUACUUCAUGAAAUAGGAAAUAAAAUAUUGUGCUU